AUUGAACGCUGGCGGCAUGCUUUACACAUGCAAGUCGAACGGUAACAGGCCUUCGGGUGCUGACGAGUGGCGAACGGGUGAGUAAUGCAUCGGAACGUACCCAGAGGUGGGGGAUAACGCAGCGAAAGCUGUGCUAAUACCGCAUGUGAUCUGAGGAUGAAAGCGGGGGACCGAGCAGCAAUGUUUGGCCUCGCGCCUUUGGAGCGGCCGAUGUCGGAUUAGCUAGUUGGUGGGGUAAAGGCCUACCAAGGCGACGAUCCGUAGCUGGUCUGAGAGGACGACAAGCCACACUGGGACUGAGACACGGCCCAGACUCCUACGGGAGGCAGCAGUGGGGAAUUUUGGACAAUGGGCGCAAGCCUGAUCCAGCAAUGCCGCGUGCGGGAAGAAGGCCUUCGGGUUGUAAAACGCUUUUGGCAGGAACGAAACGGUGUCCGCUAAUACCGGGCGCUAAUGACGGUACCUGCAGAAUAAGCACCGGCUAACUACGUG
rnacentral:rRNA from 1 species